AGACUUGAAUAAGAAACACAGUUGAAGUCUUGCUUAUAAGGCAAAGGUAGUCUAGUCUAGUUGCUCCCCAUAAAACCCAUGGAGGAGACUGUGAGCCUCCUCUUUGGAUCCUGUCUGGAGUCUAGUU